GGAUGAGCGGAUCAAAGGUAACGUCUGUUUUGGAGAAAUGCUAGCAUCUCUGGAGGAGCUGGGUGCUGGGGCAGGGACAGCACUGCCAGGAUGCUGGGGGCCCGCUCCUCAUGUGCAGUAAACUCUGCUUCUCCCACAGAUCUGCAAGCCCAGAACGAGAAGGCUGAGCAGGAGAGGGAGGCUGAGAGGGAGAGGGAGGUGGAAAGACUGCAGGAGAUGGAGGACUGGAUUUGUGGAUAUGAGCACGCUGAGCAGGAGUGGGAGGCUGAGAGGGAAAGGGCGGCAGAAGAACUGCAGAGGAUGGAGAACCGGGCUCGCUGCUCUGAAGAGGAAGUGCUUCGGCUGAGAAAGAAACUGACUGAAGAGAAGAAAUAUUAUUACAAGGGUGGGCACUCCAGAGGUGGUUUUCAGCAGCAGAACACCAGGAGUAACAGGUCUUUUAGAAUAAUGCCAAUGCUGGGUACUGUACUAGUAUUGGCAUUUUUUGCAGCCAGAAUUGUGCUUUGAGGAAGAAAUGGGAUCUUCUGUAACUGCUGGUGAAUUGAGCAAAUUUCUGAUCAUCUACUCGAGGAAUUGCUGUUCAUCUGUUCAUGGAAUCGCACUCCUUCCUUUGCUCAGGGACUGUGCAACAAUAGCUUUGAAAAGAGUGACCUUCGUGUUUCUGUACACUUUGCAUUUCUUUAGAGUUGUGCUUUGCUUCUGAAAAUGCUAGGUUAAAAAGAAAAUAAAAAAGAUGUCAAGCAUGAACUGGUGUCUAAA
rnacentral:lncRNA from 1 species